UAUGUGAUCGUCUCUCGCAUAUCAAUAAGCGGAGGAAAAGAAACUAACAAGGAUUCCCCUAGUAACGGCGAGUGAAGCGGGAAGAGCUCAAAUUUGAAAUCUUAAAGGGUUUCCCUUUACGAAUUGUAGUUUAAAGAAGUGUUUUCUGUUGAGGUUUUGGUAAAAGUUCUUUGGAAUAGGACAUCAUAGAGGGUGAGAAUCCCGUAUUUGACCUUUACUUUCAACUUUGUGAUACACUUUCAAAGAGUCGGAUUGUUUGGGAAUGCAGUCCAAAAUGGGUGGUAAAUUUCAUCUAAAGCUAAAUAUUGGUGAGAGACCGAUAGCGAACAAGUACCGUGAGGGAAAGAUGAAAAGAACUUUGAGAAAGAGAGUUAAACAGUACGUGAAAUUGUCAAAAGGGAAGCGUUUGACACCAGUGUUGUUUUUCUGAAAAUCAAUUAAAGAACUGUUUAUGCUAAGCUGUUUAGACUUUAUCAGCUAUCUGUUUAGUUUUGAGCUUUUCUUUAAUGCACUUUUCAGUUAACAAGUCAACAUCAAUUUCUUUUGCUGUAAAAAAGCUUGAGGAAGGUGGCUUGAGAUUCGUCUUAAGUGUUUAUAGCCUCUUGCCUAUGCAGUCGGAGAGAUUGAGGUCUGCAGCGUAGAUCCUUCGGGGCUAAAUGCAUUUGUGCUAAGUUAUAGCAUUUUAUAGACAACUUGUUGACUAUGAUUUGUCUUGUAGCUUACUCGCUUAUGUUAUUUUACCUACGCUUAGGAUGUUGAGCGCAUGUCUCUCUCU
rnacentral:rRNA from 1 species